GACGUAGGGGGCGAGCGUUGUCCGGAUUUAUUGGGCGUAAAGAGCUCGUAGGCGGUUUGUUGCGUCGGCUGUGAAAUCCCGAGGCUCAACCUCGGGUCUGCAGUCGAUACGAGCAAACUAGAGUGUUGCAGGGGAGACUGGAAUUCCUGGUGUAGCGGUGAAAUGCGCAGAUAUCAGGAGGAACACCGGUGGCGAAGGCGGGUCUCUGGGCAACAACUGACGCUGAGGAGCGAAAGCGUGGGGAGCGAACAGG
rnacentral:rRNA from 1 species